CAACCUACCUAUCAGAGGGGAAUAACCCGGCGAAAGUCGGACUAAUACCGCAUAAAACAGGGGCACCGCAUGGUGAUAUUUGUUAAAGAAAUUCGCUGAUAGAUGGGCAUGCGUUCCAUUAGGUAGUUGGUGAGGUAACGGCUCACCAAGCCGACGAUGGAUAGGGGAACUGAGAGGUUGGUCCCCCACACUGGUACUGAGACACGGACCAGACUCCUACGGGAGGCAGCAGUGAGGAAUAUUGGUCAAUGGGCGGGAGCCUGAACCAGCCAAGUCGCGUGAAGGAAGAAGGAUCUAUGGUUCGUAAACUUCUUUUGCAGGGGAAUAAAGUGCGGGACGUGUCCUGUUUUGUAUGUACCCUGAGAAUAAGGAUCGGCUAACUCCGUGCCAGCAGCCGCGGUAAUACGGAGGAUCCGAGCGUUAUCCGGAUUUAUUGGGUUUAAAGGGUGCGUAGGUGGUUUGAUAAGUCAGCGGUGAAAGUUUGCAGCUUAACUGUAAAAAUGCCGUUGAAACUGUCGGACUUGAGUGUAAAUGAGGUAGGCGGAAUGCGUGGUGUAGCGGUGAAAUGCAUAGAUAUCACGAAGAACUCCGAUUG
rnacentral:rRNA from 1 species